CCUGAUGUGUCUCACCUGUUCACUUCCUCCCUGCUGCUGUGUGUUUUGUAUUUAAUGCCUUUGGUUUUGUUCAGCCUUUGUGGUGUCGUCUUUGUUAAAUUUUGAACAUCUCAGAGUGUUCUCCAUGUUGUUCCCUGCCUUUGAAGAUUUGGAUGUAUCUUCAUUUCAUCUUGUAUUUCAGUUUACCCCUUACCGAAUUUUCCUGAGUUUUGACUUUGCUUUUGUUGUUGGAACUUAAGUUUAUUAUUUUGGAUGUGCCAACUGCCGGACUCUUGCUACAACUGCACAUAAGAUCCUACUCGCUGUUCGCUGCUUACUCCUUGAGACUGACCUGACAAUCUUACCACGAGACGCUGAACCAUGGCUAGUGUAACCAAGGAGGGUGCAGCUGGCGGACGGGCUGUGAGAAUUAGCUCACUAAACACUGCAAAGCCACCAAAGGAUACACCAGCAGAGCGACUUCUACGUAGGAAGAACCCCCAAUAUGCCUCUGACAUGAGACUGAUACAACACAAGUCGACCCCGAGGAGAAACACAAGACUCUGUGGAAGGAGAGUUCUCUGCUGGGAAAGACGAGAACAGAAAAGAACAGCGUGUACCCUUGGCCACCACAUACCUUCACAAGUAGAGGGUUGUUUAUCCAACUUGAGUCCCUUUAUGAGUUCCUUUUUUAAACUCAGGCAUAGGCUUUUUUUCCCUGAGCUGUUCCAAGCCGUUUCCUUACUUUGAAGUGGGGAUGAGGUCACUAAUGUUGGACAGGCUAUCAGAACUCCCUGCAGUGCAGAGCUAUUCCGACUGGAAGGAAACACUAUACCUUUCUGAAUAUCCUGCACACACACACACUCUCCUUACCCUCUUUCCCUUACCUUUCACACCAUACACUAGGGAUGAUCUUGGCCUGUGGUCCGUCUAUGUGUCUCUGAACCUGUGUGGCUAAAUCAGUGCCUCAGGCCGCUGAAAACCACCAACUAGUAAGCCACAGAUGUGAUGCAGGAGAAGCCUCAGCUGCCUUCCGCUAGCUCUAAUGAAAAUCCAAGGAGGAAUGAAAGAGACCAGAGGGUGCAUGCAAAUCAAUAUGCGCACACUGAGUCAACAGUACAAAUUUGUUUCCAUUAGCAGUUGUUUCUUUUCACCAGUUUAAUAUAAUGUUUUCUCAGCCGCUAGCAAUGCAGCAUUAAAGUGCAUUUAAACAAAGCUGAUUUCAAUUAGACUGCAGUGCUGGUUCUUCAUACAAGUGAACAUCUGUUUGCUAUUCUUGUUGAAUGAAGAAUUUUACACCUGGCAAACAUAGGAUAAGUCAUUACUUAAAAGGGUUCUAUUGAAAGCUUGGUUUCACUGUUUAAUCAACAAGACAAUUUGUUUUGUUGAUAUCAGUCAUCUGUUUCAUUUGAUAAAGACUGAAUGCUUUUCCAAUAUGCGUUACCAAGCAACACUCAAGGACUCUCAGUGUAUACCAUGGAUAGCCAUAUCAGACACUCAUCUUGCAUGUAGAGAGAAUAAUGCAUUAAAUAAAGCUUUUGUCUAGAACUGUUCAAACUUCAUCUAUAUAGUCUGGUGAAGGUCUGUAUUAGCAGUGUAGAGAUGUGAUCUCCUGGAGACUUUUCCCUCUGUUAUGUGUAUGAGCCUUUUGCAAAAUGAAAAAUUUCCUAAUAAAAAUAAAAACUUAACACUGUAGAAAAUUAUAAUAUUUUUGUUUAUACUGCAAAGGUUGAGCUCGUAAUCAUGAAAUCAAUUGAAAAUAGUUCAGUAUGCAGACUGCAUAUGCAUGUAUAUUUAUGUACUUGUGUAUAGGUUAUUGUAGUGUAAUAGAGUCGGGAAUCUUGUGGGAGUGAGCGGGAUGAGAUAGGUGUUGCCUCUGCAGCUUCACAUGUCUGUACUGGCCUUGCUGCAGACACUGCAGGACCAUUACAUCAUUUGGCUCUCGUAUUUUCCCGUUGUCCAAAUUAAACCUGACUGACCUGUUAUAUUUCUUACGCUACACUAGGCAAGACUUUUAGAUAGAGCCUUUCUGGUAGGUGUGUAUCCUGUUCACAUUUAUAAUUAACUUUGAUUGUUGACUUAAUUGUUGACCAGGUUCUCUUGUCUUGAGGAGUACUACUCAGCCUUUGAAAACAUUGUACAAUUUCACCUGUGGCUCUGGAGGAUCUUUUUCAAGCCUGAGGGGG